rnacentral:rRNA from 1 species
CCUACGGGGAGCAGCAGUGGGGAAUAUUGCACAAUGGGGGAAACCCUGAUGCAGCGACGCCGCGUGAGUGAAGAAGUAUUUCGGUAUGUAAAGCUCUAUCAGCAGGGAAGAAAUAGCGACCUUUGGGUCGCCAGACGCUACCUGAUUAAGUAGCCCCGGCUAACUACGUGCCAGCAGCCGCCGUACUCCGUAGGGGGAAAGCGUUAUCCGGAUUUACUGGGUGUAAAGGGAGGGUAGACGGCAGCGCAAGUCUGAAGUGAAAUGCCGGGGCUUAACCCCGGAACUGCUUUGGAAACUGUGCAGCUAGAGUGCAGGAGAGGUAAGGGGAAUUCCUAGUGUAGCGGUGAAAUGCGUAGAUAUUAGGAGGAACACCAGUGGCGAAGGCGGCUUACUGGACUGUAACUGACGUUGAGGCUCGAAAGCGUGGGGAGCAAACAGGAUUAGAUACCCUUGUAGUC